rnacentral:rRNA from 1 species
CCCUUAGAUGUUCUGGGCCGCACGCGCGCUACACUGACGAUGGCAACGAGUUUUUCCUUCGCCGAAAGGUGUGGGUAAUCUUUUGAAACAUCGUCGUGCUGGGGAUAGAUCAUUGCAAUUUUUGAUCUUGAACGAGGAAUGCCUAGUAAACGCAAGUCAUCAGCUUGCAUUGAUUACGUCCCUGCCCUUUGUACACACCGCCCGUCGCUCCUACCGAUUGAAUGAUCCGAUGAAUAUCAUGGAUUGAGGAUGCAAGCAGGUUCGCCUGUCUUCAUCUUCGAGAAGUGAAGUAAAUCUUAUCAUUUAGAGGAAGGAGAAGUCGUAACA